GAUGAACGCUGGCGGCGUGCCUAAUACAUGCAAGUCGAGCGAACAGACGAGGAGCUUGCUCCUCUGACGUUAGCGGAGGACGGGUGAGUAACACGUGGAUAACCUACUUAUAAGACUGGGAUAACUUCGGGACUCCGGCGCUAAUCCCGGAUAAUCUCUUGAUCCGCAUGGGUCAAUAGUGAAUGACGGCUUUGCUGUAUCUUCUCGAUGGUUCCGCGCCGCAUUAGCUAGUUGGUAAGGUCACGGCUUACCAAGGCAACGAUGCGUAGCCGACGUGAGAGAGUGGUCGGCCGCACUGGAACGUGGACACGGUCCAGACUCCUACGAGAGGCAGCAGUAGGGAAUCGUCCGCAGUGGUCGAAAGCCUGACGGAGCAACGCCGCGUGAGAUAUGAAGGUCUUCGGAUCGUAAUACUCUGUUAUUAGGUAAGAACAAAUGUGUAAGUAACUAUGCACUUCGUGACGGUACCUAGUCAGAAAGCCACGGCUAACUACGUG
rnacentral:rRNA from 1 species